GACGAACGCUGGCGGCGUGCUUAACACAUGCAAGUCGAACGGAAAGGCCCUGCUUUUGUGGGGUGCUCGAGUGGCGAACGGGUGAGUAACACGUGAGUAACCUGCCCUUGACUUUGGGAUAACUUCAGGAAACUGGGGCUAAUACCGUAUAGGAGCUCCUGCUGCAUGGUGGGGGUUGGAAAGUUUCGGCGGUUGGGGAUGGACUCGCGGCUUAUCAGCUUGUUGGUGGGGUAGUGGCUUACCAAGGCUUUGACGGGUAGCCGGCCUGAGAGGGUGACCGGCCACAUUGGGACUGAGAUACGGCCCAGACGGCUACGGGAGGCAGCAGUGGGGAAUAUUGCACAAUGGGCGGAAGCCUGAUGCAGCAACGCUGCGUGCGGGAUGACGGCCUUCGGGUUGUAAACCGCUUUCGCCUGUGACGAAGCGUGAGUGACGGUAAUGGGUAAAGAAGCACCGGCUAACUACGUG
rnacentral:rRNA from 1 species